CCCAAGGAAGCGCUUUGUCCACGUGGACAGAAAACGCGUCCUUGAGGGUGCGUUUCUGUCCACGUGGACAAAGCUCUUCCUUGGAG
rfam:Gossypium raimondii Chr06_contig_339, whole genome shotgun sequence.